GAAAUACUCCCUCCGUCCCAAAAUUCUUGUCUUAGAUUUGUCUAAAUACGGAUGUAUCAAGUCACGUUUUGGUAAUAGAUACAUCCGUAUCUAGACUAAUCUAAGACAAGAAUUUUGGGACGGAGGGAGUAUAAG
rfam:Triticum aestivum genome assembly, contig: Triticum_aestivum_CS42_TGACv1_scaffold_080620_1DS